UGGGGCCAGGCUGCAGUAGGAGAUGUGGGGCCAGGGAAUGGGGCCAGGCUGCAGGAGAUGGAGAUGUGGGGCCAGGGAAUGGGGCCAGGCUGCAGUAAGAGAUGGGGCCAGGGAAUGGGGCCAGGCUGCAGUAAGAGAUGGGGCCAGGGGAUGGGGCCAGGCUGCAGGAGAUGGAGAUGUGGGGCUGGGAUGUGGGGCUGGGCUGCAGGAGAAGGAGAUGUGGGGCCAGGGAAUGGGGCCAGGCUGCAGUAAGAGAUGGGGCCAGGGAAUGGGGCCAGGCUGCAGGAGAUGGAGAUGUGGGGCUGGGCUGCAGGAGAUGGAGAUGUGGGGCCAGGGAAUGGGACCAGGCUGCAGUAAGAGAUGUGGGGCUGGGAUGUGGGGCCGAGCUGCAGGAGAAGGAGAUGUGGGGCCAGGCUGCAGGAGAUGGAGAUGUGGGGCUGGGAUGUGGGGCUGGGCUGCAGGAGAAGGAGAUGUGGGGCUGGGUUGUGGGGCCAGGCUGCAGAAGAAGGAGAUGUGGGGCCAGGGAAUGGGGCCAGGCUGCAGGAGAUGGAGAUGUGGGGCCAGGGAAUGGGGCCAGGCUGCAGUAAGAGAUGUGGGGCCAGGCUGCAGGAGAUGGAGAUGUGGGGCUGGGAUGUGGGGCCAGGCUGCAGUAAGAGAUGUGGGGCUGGGAUGUGGGGCCGGGCUGGAGCUGGAGAGAGUUUGGGGCCGGAAUCUGGUGCCGUGCUGCAGGAGGGGAGGAUUUGGAGCUGGGUUUUAGCACUGGGCGGCGGAAGGAGAGGACGUGGGGCCGGGAUGUGGGGCCGGGCUCAGCCCCACGUCCCCCUGCCCCACAUUUCCGAUUCCCCCCCCCCCAUCCCCGCAGGUGGAGUACGUCAUCAAGUGCGACAUGUCGGCGCUGCAGCGCGUGCUGUACCGGCACAUGCAGGCCAAGGGCGUGCUGCUCACCGACGGCUCCGAGAAGGACAAGAAGGUUC
rnacentral:lncRNA from 1 species